UUAAAACAUUGGUUCCCGUAAGAUCACGGAAGUUAAGCAACAUCGAGAGUAGUUAAUACUUGAAUGGGUGACCUCUUGGAAAUACCAGGUGCUGUAAG